UAGUAUUAAGUUCCCUGGAUUAAGUGUUUAGUUGUUUAAAAUAUUACGAACUGAGGCCCGUUUUCUUG
rnacentral:tRNA from 1 species